rnacentral:lncRNA from 1 species
UUUAACUUGCCACUAGGCAAGUGCAAUCUCGAGCGACGGUGAUUGCAAGGCUGGCGCAUAGCAUGUCACAUGUGCAUUCCCUGCGAUCACCAUCCAUACCUACAGUUGUGCUCACCAAUGGUGGCAAGGCAAGGCACUUUCUGAAAAAAUGAUAGACUGAAUCUAAACAGAAUGGUCCCCAAUUUUGAAACUGUCCUUUUUAAACAUAGUAUAGAUAUUAUGAAGAAAAGAGGUCCACCACCACAUAAUACAAUUGAAAUGCAAAGAUAUAGAUGACUUGAAG